UACUACCGAAGCUACGGCAUCAGUAAUGAUGGGUAGGGGAGCUUCCCAUACGGGUUGAAGCAUGACCGUAAGGACAUGUGGACAGUAUGGGAGUGAGAAUGUUGGCAUGAGUAGCGAGAUGUGGGUGAGAAGCCCACAGGCCGUAAACCCAAGGUUUCCAGGGGAAGGUUCGUCCGCCCUGGGUUAGUCGGGACCUAAGCUGAGGCCGAAAGGCGUAGGUGAUGGACAACAGGUUGAUAUUCCUGUACUACCGAUAACCGUUUGAGAGAAGGGAUGACACAGUAGGAUAAGCUAAGCACACUGUUGGUUAU
rnacentral:rRNA from 1 species